rnacentral:rRNA from 1 species
AGCAGCCGCGGUAAUUCCAGCUCCAAUAGCGUAUAUUAAAGUUGUUGCAGUUAAAAAGCUCGUAGUUGAAUUUCGGGGUCAGUAGGCUGGUCGUGCCACAGGUACGUACUGGUCUCACUGAUUCCUCCUUCCUGAUGAACCGUAAUGCCAUUAAUUUGGUGUUGCGGGGAAACUGGACUGUUACUUUGAAAAAAUUAGAGUGUUUAAAGCAGGCUAACGCUUGAAUACAUUAGCAUGAAAUAAUGAAAUAGGACGUUCGAUCCUAUUUUGUUGGUUUCUAGGAUUGACGUAAUGAUUAAUAGGGAUAGUUGGGGGCAUUAGUAUUCAAUUGUCAGAGGUGAAAUUCUUGGAUUUAUUGAAGACUAACUACUGCGAAAGCAUUUGCCAAGGAUGUUUUCAUUAAUCAAGAACGAAAGUUAGGGGAUCGAAGACGAUCAGAUACCGUCGUAGUCUUAACCAUAAACUAUGCCGACUAGGGAUCGGAUGAUGUUAUUUUUAAUGACUCAUUCGGCGCUUACGG